UACGAAUCGUCCAAACGUUGUUCGGAUUCACUGGGCUUAAAGGGCGCGUAGGCUGUGCGUUAAGUCGGUGGUGAAAUACUUCGGCUCAACCGGAGAAUUGCCGCUGAAACUGGCGCGCUAGAGGGAGGCAGAGGUGCAUGGAACUUCCGGUGGAGCGGUGAAAUGCGUUGAUAUCGGAAGGAACACCCGUGGCGAAAGCGGUGCACUGGACCUCUUCUGACGCUGAGGCGCGAAAGCCAGGGGAGCGAACGGG
rnacentral:rRNA from 1 species